GAUGAACGCUGGCGGCGUGCCUAAUACAUGCAAGUCGAGCGAACGGACGAGAAGCUUGCUUCUCUGAUGUUAGCGGCGGACGGGUGAGUAACACGUGGAUAACCUACCUAUAAGACUGGGAUAUCUUCGGGAAACCGGAGCUAAUACCGGAUGAUAUUUUGAACCGCAUGGUUCAAAAGUGAAAGACGGUCUUGCUGUCACUUAUAGAUGGAUCCGCGCUGCAUUAGCUAGUUGGUAAGGUAACGGCUUACCAAGGCAACGAUGCAUAGCCGACCUGAGAGGGUGAUCGGCCACACUGGAACGGAGACACGGUCCAGACUCCUACGGGAGGCAGCAGUAGGGAAUCUUCCGCAAUGGGCGAAAGCCUGACGGAGCAACGCCGCGUGAGUGAUGAAGGUCUUCGGAUCGUAAAACUCUGUUAUUAGGGAAGAACAUAUGUGUAAGUAACUGUGCACAUCUUGACGGUACCUAAUCAGAAAGCCACGGCUAACUACGUG
rnacentral:rRNA from 1 species